GUUAGGAAUAUUGGACAAUGGGCGCAAGCCUGAUCCAGCCAUGCCGCGUGAGUGAUGAAGGCCUUCGGGUUGUAAAGUUCUUUAGUCCACGAAUAUAAUGACUGUAGUGGAAGAAUAAGCCCCGGCUAACUUCGUGCCAGCAGCCGCGGUAAUACGAAGGGGGCGAGCGUUAUUCGGAAUCACUGGGCGUAAAGCGUGCGUAGGCUGUUUUGUAAGUCAGAAGUGAAAGCCCAGGGCUUAACCCUGGAAUUGCUUUUGAAACUACAAGACUCGAAUUCGGGAGAGGAUAGAGGAAUUGUCAGUGUAGCAGUGAAAUGCGUAGAUAUUGACAGGAACACCAGUGGCGCAAGCGGCUAUCUGGACCGAUAUUGACGCUGAGGCACGAAAGCGUGGGGAGCAAACAGGAUUAGAUACCCCAGUAGUCC
rnacentral:rRNA from 1 species